ensembl:lncRNA
CAGCUGCUCCUGACCCUCACAAAGGGGAACACGGCAGAGGGGCUCCUCUAAAGAAUUCUCUCUUCCACAGAUGUUUGGGUCAUCUCUACAAAACCUUCAUUUACAAUUUUAAAUAUGUUCUAAGUCUGGAGAUACUCAGUCCUCCAGUUCUAAGUUCUUUUUUUCAGUGUUAAGAGCACGAAGUGAGUCACUGAGCCAUGUAAGCUCAAGUCUAGAUGGAGAGCAGAGCUCCUUCCCAGAGCAGUGAUGGCAGUGCUGCUCAGGGAUGAGUCUGACCAGCGGCCAGCCGCGCGCUGAGCAGUUGGGCUGUACCCAAAGCCAACACAUCUGUCACAGGAUCAUUAAGAUUGGAAAAGACCUCUGAGAGCAUCUAGUCCAACCACCCACCUACUACCAAUACAGCCCACUAAACCAUGUCCUUAAGUACCACAUCUACACAUUUCUUGAAUGCCACUAGGGAUGUUGACCCCACCACUUCCCUGGGCAGCCUGUUCCAAUGCCUAAACACUCCUUCUGAGAAGAAAUUCUUCCUAAUAUCCAACCGUUUAAUAAUGGCAUUUUUAAGUAUGGCUGAUGCUUGACUCAGCUUUCUAAGGGCAGAGAAAAUCAGUGGGGGUAGGUAGGGAAGGUAACUGUGCCUCUUGCCACCAGUCAGCUGCUGCAGUGAAGAUUUCCCCCAUUUACUCACACACAUAAAGUUCAGUCGUACUUGAGCAGAUAAGAGUCUGGAAGAACUAAGGCUGGAAACCAUCAUCUCUGAUGACCACCUUUGCCAUUGAGACUACAAGGCCUGCCAACCAUUACCCCUGAAUCAGCUUUAUACCAUUAAAGUGAAGCUAUGCUCUCCAUGCACACCAUGCAUUAACUGGUUAAACUGAUGGUUUUGCCUGUAGAGUAGAAUUACAAUGGGGACUUUAGUUGUAGAGGUUGACACCUGCUAAUAUCCCGAACUGGCAGAAAUGUGUGAAUAGCUGCAAUGCUGUAGUGUCAGAAGAACGGUGCCCAUUACUAGAAUGCAGCGUGACAUGCCCCUCACGGGACCAUUGCAGAUGAAGAUGCAGUUGUCCCUCUUUUCCACUGCAACAGAAUGACAAAGCCCUUCAGUGCAUUAGAUGAGCCAGCCUGCUAUGCCACCACUUAAAUACUGCAGAGGAGAAUGGUGGAGAGAAGCAGCUGAAGUCAGAAAAAUAUCGUAGUAUCAUACAAACAUCCAUUAUUCUGAAAAUAAUAGGGUUCUGAACAAGAUUGUCACGGCUGCUACUUCUGUUGUAUGCACCACACACUAAGGCAGACCUCUAGGCAACCCACUGCUAUUUUGACACCUUUCUUGGCCAUGUAACAUCCUUUCCUAAAGGCAGUUUUAAAGGUACCCAUGUUCAAUGGACUACUGCAUUAUAUUACACCUUUAAGAACUGCAGCGUACCCUCCUUUUCCAGUUGUCCUGUUGAACUAAUGCUUUGAGAUAGUUUUACCUACAAGAAAAGAUGCUCCAAGCUUCAAAGAGACAGCUACAGUUUCACCAGGGGAGGAAAAAUUAAAAUGCAGCACGAAGAAACUGGUCUACAAUGAGAGAAAUACCAAGAAAUAGAAGUGUCAAAUCCCUUAGGGUGGAUUAAAAAAACCCAACUCCAGUUCAUCUCCAAGCAUUGUAUUUUGUAAUGAAAUUACACUCCAUAUUCUUCCCUUGGGGAAAACCUGCUCCAACUAAUCACACCUUUGUUUUUUAAAGUUCAAAACAAAGGCAAGAAGGGCUAUGCAGCAUUCAUGCCCUCACUGCCAAGAGCUCCGUUUAACUCUUUACAAGCAAAUGAUUCUUUCACCACCAGGAACCACAAAAAGCUUCUGUAUGUCAAUGCUGAAACAGUUCAAGAUACUGAAUGCUCUGCCUGAUGCUCACCACUUAGAGCAUCUUUGUUCUGUCUUUUAAAUCAGCCUUCUAAAGCUCCCCAGCAGCAAAUCGAAAAGCUCUUCUAUGCUUUUUCAGCCCUCCACAAGCCUUUACAGUGCUGUCAUUUCAGAUGAUGUCCCUCGUGUUCAUAUCCCUCAUAUUCAUAUCCCUCUGUCCCCUCUGAUGUCACAUUGGCCUCAUUAGAAAUCUGUUAUUGAUCUGAUUACGCAAUCGGAUGCAGCUGUUCAAAUACAGUAAUGACCACUUUCUUUAAAAAAAGUAGGUACUGUAAUACAGUUAAUUUUAAUCAUAUUAAAAGUAGAAACCAUCCCCAUUAAUUUCAUGAAAUCUAAGAAAAGACUGUGGUUUUAGGAGACCAGUUCUAAUUAAUCUUACCUUACUUACAGAUCUCCUGGAACCUCCUUCUCUUCUCAAGAAAGGAUGUCCCUGCGGUCACAUCGGGACCAUCGUGACAUCGACAGUCACGUCGAUGUGCAGCCAGUUUGUUUGAGCUGCAGGGGUUGGGUUGAAGGCAGGGAUGGUCAUGAUCUUUGUGGUAUUUCCCCCAGUCUUAAUGAUUCUGUGAUUCUAUGAAAAAGAGAUAUGACCCCAAAU